GCGUGCAGGAAGAAGGCCUUCGGGUUGUAAACUGCUUUUGUACGGAACGAAAAGGCUCUGGUUAAUACCUGGGGCUGAUGACGGUACCGUAAGAAUAAGCACCGGCUAACUACGUGCCAGCAGCCGCGGUAAUACGUAGGGUGCGAGCGUUAAUCGGAAUUACUGGGCGUAAAGCGUGCGCAGGCGGUUUUGUAAGACAGGCGUGAAAUCCCCGGGCUCAACCUGGGAAUUGCGCUUGUGACUGCAAGGCUGGAGUGCGGCAGAGGGGGAUGGAAUUCCGCGUGUAGCAGUGAAAUGCGU
rnacentral:rRNA from 1 species